UGUAUAUAUAUAUGAGCGUUCCGUUGUUUACGACGGGACAUCCAGACGACCCUUCUUCCUUUUCCGACCGACAAAAAGAGUGACUUCAGAGUGACUGUCGGAGCGACUUUAGAAUAGGACAGGUCGGGAACAUGUCGACACUUGCAAUGCUGGUCACCGCGGGGCUGCUUUUGGGCGCGACUGCUUCAAGUUUGCGGAGAUCGACUUGUCCAGCGGAGGUGUGUUCGUUUGCCGUCGAUGUCAAGGGCGCCUCUUGCGAGCUCGUCUCCCGGGGCGACGGCAAGGAGUGCUACUGCUGCGGCGACGACGGCUUGGGGCGGCCCGGAAGGACCGAACGGGCGACGUUCGGAGGGCGACGGAGAUUCGGAGGCUGCGCUCUCCACUGCCGGGGUGGCGCGGUCGAUACGCGCAACUGCCGCUGCAUCAGACGCUUCUGAGCCUCCUCCCCACAACGCGUGCAUAUACGUACUCGUAAAUGUUGGAAGGUUUCGAAGAAUCUACCCAUUUUCGUGUACACGGUUGAAUAAAAAAAAUUGUUUGUGAACUUA